UACGUAGGGUGCGAGCGUUAAUCGGAAUUACUGGGCGUAAAGUGUGCGCAGGCGGCCGCGCAAGUCGAGUGUGAAAGCCCCGGGCUUAACUUGGGAAUUGCGCUCGAAACUACGUGGCUGGAGUGUGGCAGAGGAAGGUGGAAUUCCACGUGUAGCGGUGAAAUGCGUAGAGAUGUGGAGGAACACCGAUGGCGAAGGCAGCCUUCUGGGCCAACACUGACGCUCAUGCACGAAAGCGUGGGGAUCAAACAGG
rnacentral:rRNA from 1 species